GACGAACCGUGCGAACGUUGUUCGGAAUCACUGGGCUUAAAGGGCGCGUAGGCGGACCAUCAAGUCGGGGGUGAAAUCUUUCAGCCCAACUGGAAAGGGCUUCCGAUACUGGUGGUCUCGAGGGAGGUAGGGGUUGAGGGAACUGGUGGUGGAGCGGUGAAAUGCGCAGAUAUCAGGAGGAACACCCAAUGGCGAAGGCAGCUCGCUGGGACGUGACUGACGCUGAGGCACGAAGGUCAGGGGAGCAAACGGG
rnacentral:rRNA from 1 species